rnacentral:rRNA from 1 species
GUAGCAGUGAAAUGCGUAGAGAUGUGGAGGAACACCGAUGGCGAAGGCAGNNNNCUGGGAUGACACUGACNNNCAUGCUCGAAAGCGUGGGGAGCAAACAGGAUUAGAUACCCUGGUAGUCCACGCCCUAAACGAUGUCUACUAGUUGUCGGGCCUUAAUUGGCUUGGUAACGCAGCUAACGCGUGAAGUAGACCGCCUGGGGAGUACGGUCGCAAGAUUAAAACUCAAAGGAAUUGACGGGGACCCGCACAAGCGGUGGAUGAUGUGGAUUAAUUCGAUGCAACGCGAAAAACCUUACCUACCCUUGACAUGCCAGGAACCCCGCUGAAAGGUGGGGGUGCUCGAAAGAGAGCCUGGGCACAGGUGCUGCAUGGCUGUCGUCAGCUCGUGUCGUGAGACGUUGGGUUAAGUCCCGCAACGAGCGCAACCCUUAUCAUUAGUUGCUACGCAAGGGCACUCUAAUGAGACUGCCGGUGACAAACCGGAGGAAGGUGGGGAUGACGUCAAGUCCUCAUGGCCCUUAUGGGUAGGGCUUCACACGUCAUACAAUGGUCGGUACAGAGGGCUGCCAACCCGCGAGGGGGAGCUAAUCCCAGAAAACCGAUCGUAGUCCGGAUUGCAGUCUGCAACUCGACUGCAUGAAGUCGGAAUCGCUAGUAAUCGCGGAUCAGCAUGUCGCGGUGAAUACGUUCCCGGGUCUUGUACACACCGCCCGUCACACCAUGGGAGUGGGUUUUACCAGAAGUAGUUAGCCUAACCGCAAGGAGGGCGAUUACCACGGUAGGGCUCAUGACUGGGGUGAAGUCGUAACAAGGUAACCAAGGGCGAA